GUUUCCACUGCUGCUCUGAGGGCACAAGAGGCAGGAUUUGGAAUUCCUGGAGAACUGUCUUCGUGAGAAGCUGGAAAUAUUUCUUUCAAUUCCAUCUCUUAGUUUUCCAUUUUGUUGUGUUUCAGAGGAACAUCAAGAAACC
rfam:Gorilla gorilla gorilla genomic chromosome, chr7, whole genome shotgun sequence